AGAUUGGAACACAAUACCACAGUGAGGAAAGCCGGAUGUUGCCCACAUGCCCCAUGGAGAAACCCGCCAGGGGCAUGUUGGGACAUUGGGAGUGUGAGCCCUGGAGACUGUGUUGUGGCAGGGAUCCAGGUUCUCCCAGCUGCCGGCCACAGGGCUCUGCCCAGAGGUCCUGAGUUUCCUCAAUGGCAUUCUAAUCCAUGAGUGUUCAGAGAGAGCAGGUGGGCUCCCCUACCCGGCGCCUUCCGACCAGCAUCUGGAAAAGGAUAGUCAGAAACGCAGUGAAAAUUACGCCUGCAACCCUGGCAGGCAGGGAAGCACUUAAUAACUUACGUGGGUGUCAGGGCAAGGGAGCCGUCCGCAGACCAGAGUUGUGAUGGACCGUUCUCCACCAUGUGAUGUUCAUUUUCUCCACUGAGAUUAAAAAAGAAGAGGAAAGGAAAGGAAAGUGCACAACCUCCUUGAAAAGACAGCUCCUCCUGCCGAAAAUGUGUUGCAGACUCGGUCAGUCAGGUGGACUUAAUUGGAAGGCACUUUCUUUUUGAUGGAAAAAGAAGGAGAAAGAU
rnacentral:lncRNA from 1 species